UCGGGUAACUGGAUGAUCUCUCAGCUGCGCUUUCCUCCAUGUUGGUGCUGUUUCUUGGUUCUCAGGAAGCUUCACUUAAUUCAGUCAGGGUCUCAGCAGAAAACGGAUGGCUGUCUCACACUGGGAAACGUGAGGAGGGUUUAACAAGAGGACGGAGGAACAUGGUAUAAGUUCGACCUAGACGAGACCUCUCUGGACCCACUGAAGUUUGCUGGAAGGUGCCACCUAGUGGAACAUCAGAUGACCUGCCGCUUAGACAAAAAGAAACCUCAGGAAGGUUUUACAACGGAAAGCCGUCCAGCAGUGGUUCCCUCAAACUUGGCUGCAGCCACCCGGGGAUGGUGGAGUCCCUACCCUCCGAGGAUCUGAACCGGAGAAAUCCCGGGCCACCGAAGGGGAGCUCGGGAACUGAACCACUAGGCCACCAGCCAGCCUGCAUCCAGAGUUUUAAAAGGUACCUGAGGCAUUCUAUGUGCAGCUAAGGGUGAGACCACUGGGUAUAGACUAUCCAACGCUUGAUUUUUACAGAGGUGCCCACAGACAGGAGCCACUUCUUAAGAGUCUGACUCCUAGGA